UACGGAGGGUGCAAGCGUUAAUCGGAAUCACUGGGCGUAAAGCGCGCGUAGGCGGUGGUGUAAGUCAGAUGUGAAAGCCCUCGGCUCAACCGGGGAAUUGCACCUGAUACUGCAAGGCUUGAGGCUGUGAGGGGUGAACAGAAUUCCAGGUGUAGCGGUGAAAUGCGUAGAUAUCAGAAGGAACACCAAUGGCGAAGGCAGCUUACUGGACAAUAACUGACGCUGAGGCACGAAAGCGUGGGUAGCGAAAGGG
rnacentral:rRNA from 1 species